rnacentral:pre_miRNA from 1 species
GGACGUGGCUCUAUGUUGUCCUCAUUGUACAUGCUGUGUGUAUAUUUAUGACGUACACAGCGCAUGCAAUGUGGACAGAAUGGAGACCAGCAGGCUC